AUCAUAUUAUUGUUCAUAUAAACGCAUAAUCACAAAACUGAGGCGUGCAAAUCAUGAAUAUUUUCAAAACAUUACUAGGAUAAAAAAAAGGUCAUCAACUUUAGAAAUUAGAAUUUCAUUUUGCAACAUAUGAGAUAGUAAAAAUAAAUACUGAUUACGCGAAAUAUAAUUUAUUUUUUAUAUAAAUACUUGCGAAAUUAUACCUCAUCUUUGAGAUAAGCGUUUUGUGCACGGAGUUUUUGGAGAUGUCGAAGUUGGUCUUCUCUCCCAGGACCACGACCACCACAUGGAGGGCAAACCACAUUAUUCAGUGCAUCUUCCAUUGAUUCGUUCUCACGUCUAAUCUUAAUAUUUUCUGCCCUAAGCGCUGCAUUGUCUGCUUUUUCAUUGUGACUCUAGAAAAAUAAAUCAAUUUUGGUUUUUAAAACAGAAUUGUCGUGUUAAUUCUACUGUGGUAGACAAAAAAAAUCAAUAAUGAAGAUGAACAAUAAUAAUGACUAGUAUAUAACCAUUAAUUGGUUUAACUAAAUUAAAUCAUUUUUUAUGAUAUACAAUAGUAUAAAACAAACAAUAGAUAAGACAAAAAGAAUUACCUUAGCUUGAGUUCUUUUGUUUUGAAACCAAAAUUUGAUUUGUUUUGGUUUCAGAUUCAGUUCUUCACCCAACAGACGUCGCUGAAAUUCGUCUGGAUGAGGACAUUCCUUGAAAUACCUUCAAUCGAUUAAAAAAUAUUAACAACGAAUUACGAAGCCAACUUUUUAAAAAGUAAUAUAAAUUAAU
rnacentral:sRNA from 1 species